rnacentral:rRNA from 1 species
GGGUAGCCGGCCUGAGAGGGUGACCGGCCACACUGGGACUGAGACACGCGUCCCAGACUCCUACGGGAGGCAGCAGUGGGGAAUAUUGCACAAUGGGCGAAAGCCUGAUGCAGCAACGCCGCGUGAGGGAUGACGGCCUUCGGGUUGUAAACCUCUUUUAGCAGGGAAGAAGCGAAAGUGACGGUACCUGCAGAAAAAGCGCCGGCUAACUACGUGCCAGCAGCCGCGGUAAUACGUAGGGCGCAAGCGUUAUCCGGAAUUAUUGGGCGUAAAGAGCUCGUAGGCGGUCUGUCGCGUCUGCUGUGAAAACCCGAGGCUCAACCUCGGGCCUGCAGUGGGUACGGGCAGACUAGAGUGCGGUAGGGGAGAUUGGAAUUCCUGGUGUAGCGGUGGAAUGCGCAGAUAUCAGGAGGAACACCGAUGGCGAAGGCAGAUCUCUGGGCCGUAACUGACGCUGAGGAGCGAAAGGGUGGGGAGCAAACAGGCUUAGAUACCCUGGUAGUCCACCCCGUAAACGUUGGGAACUAGUUGUGGGGUCCAUUCCACGGAUUCCGUGACGCAGCUAACGCAUUAAGUUCCCCGCCUGGGGAGUACGG